rnacentral:rRNA from 1 species
CAUGCCGUAAACGUUGGGCACUAGGUGUGGGGCUCAUUCCACGAGUUCCGUGCCGCAGCAAACGCAUUAAGUGCCCCGCCUGGGGAGUACGGCCGCAAGGCUAAAACUCAAAGGAAUUGA